rnacentral:tRNA from 1 species
GAUGUUAAGACGGUAUCUUUUACCCAGGGACA